CAGGUAUUGGUAAAAGCACAUUGAAUGCUAAUUAACAAAAUGUACUUUUCCCAAUGCCGGGG
rnacentral:pre_miRNA from 1 species